rnacentral:rRNA from 1 species
CCUACGGGGGGCAGCAGUGGGGAAUAUUGGACAAUGGGGGCAACCCUGAUCCAGCCAUGCCGCGUGUGUGAAGAAGGCCCUCGGGUUGUAAAGCACUUUCAGUGAGGAAGAACGCCUGGUGGUUAAUACCCAUCAGGAAAGACAUCACUCACAGAAGAAGCACCGGCUAACUCCGUGCCAGCAGCCGCGGUAAUACGGAGGGUGCGAGCGUUAAUCGGAAUUACUGGGCGUAAAGCGCGCGUAGGUGGCUUGAUAAGCCGGUUGUGAAAGCCCCGGGCUCAACCUGGGAACGGCAUCCGGAACUGUCAAGCUAGAGUGCAGGAGAGGAAGGUAGAAUUCCCGGUGUAGCGGUGAAAUGCGUAGAGAUCGGGAGGAAGACCAGUGGCGAAGGCGGCCUUCUGGACUGACACUGACACUGAGGUGCGAAAGCGUGGGUAGCAAACAGGAUUAGAUACCCGUGUAGUC